rnacentral:ncRNA from 1 species
CAAAAGCGCCUGAACUGCUGGGAGUGGCAGUGGACGAGGGAGAGGUUUAUCGAACAUUCGGCGGAUACCUCUCGGUUUUGCGUCAAAACCGACGAGCUCGGGGACAAACCGCUAAGGUGACUUAGCGAACAAAAUCCUGAGUAU